GUUCCUGUAGCGGAGUGGUUACCGCGUGACUCUUAUAAUGUCAAGGUCCGGGGUUCGACCCCCCGCAGGAACA
rnacentral:tRNA from 2 species